rnacentral:rRNA from 1 species
CACGUAGGAGGCAAACGUUAUCCGGAUUUACUGGGCGUAAAGCGCGUGUAGGUGGUUCUGUAAGUAGGGCGUGAAAGCUCCCGGCUCAACUGGGAGAGGCCGUUCUAAACUGCAGAGCUAGAGGAUGGUAGAGGGAGGUGGAAUUCCAGGUGUAGCGGUGGAAUGCGCAGAUAUCUGGAGGAACACCAGUGGCGAAAGCGGCCUCCUGGACCAUUCCUGACACUCAGACGCGAAAGCUAGGGUAGCAAACGGGAUUAGAUACCCCGGUAGUCCCUGA